rnacentral:lncRNA from 1 species
AUGUACACACAGUACACACAAAUGCACACAAACGCAAGAGCUUCAUUAGUAGUUUCUGAGUCAAGGAUGCAAACUCUUGUGUUGAAACUACAGCCCCCCGGUCCUACGGCUCUCCGACAGCCAGGUGAGGCCAAGAGAGAGCAAAGACAUUGGGGAUUUCGAUGUCGGUGCCUGUGCUCUGCAAUUCCCUACCUCUAUGACCUCAAAGGACUAAAAUUACAGGGUGGGAUGGGGUCGAGGAAUCAGUUACAUGCAGAAGUUUGGGCUUUUCCACAGCUUAUUUUUUUUGUUUGUUUGUUUACAGCAACGUGUACAAAAGUUACAGACAUUUUCACUUCAGAGUUAAGAUUUUUUUUUAAAAAUACAACCUUAUUCACCCCACGGGGGAAUGGGGCAGGAUACUGUAGGUGUAUGAUGAGCAGCGACAGAGGAAGGCAGAGGAUGAACCAGACUAAAGAGCAGAACUGACAUCAUUAAGGGAGAUGGGUUGGAGGGUCCCUGUCCAUUUAAUGGUUAAAAUGAUUACAAAGUCUUAAUUUGCUGUUAAAAUUUUAGAGAUUAGGGAGCGAUGAAUUAAUUGUCAGCAAAUUAUACCCAAAGCUCCAGAGAGAAGGGAAGAAAGAAAGAAAACCACCUUCACCUCGCAGCUACUUAGCCUAUGAGGCUGGGUUCUGAAACCCACAAGAAGUUUGGUGGAGUGGAGAUCAUGUUUCUGCCCAGGAAAGAGCAUCCGGCUUUGGGUUGCUCACUCCCUGUCCCAUCCAAGACGCGAUGAUCGCUCAGCCUGCUGGGAAAGCCAGAAGGGUCCCCUCACCCCUUUGC